AUGUCGUCGUCUGCGCAGUCUGCGGGCACGGAGCCGAUUGUGAUCACGGUGAACCCGGAGGUUGGUGGGGGCGAUUACGGGGCUCCCUCUGUGGAUGCUGCCCGCCCGAAGCCUUCCAAGGGGGGAUCCGUGGCCGUUGUGGCGUUGUAUCCGCGAGUGCGGCCUUGGGCCGUGUGGAAGCAGGUGAAGAAGAUGGGAGUGGCAGAGCUACCGCCGCAGGCCCGAGAGGAGGAGUUAUCGGAGGUACAUGGUCCUGAAGAUUUCAUUGAAGGUGAGGAUGUAGAGGUGGAAGCAGAGAUUGCCGAACAGAUGCGUACUAUGACUCAUGGUGCUGAAGUGGACGUGAAGGAGCCUGAUGCUACAGAUAUUCCAAGCCGAACUGGGAGCAUGAAUGCCCAGACCAGAGCAAGCUCCCAGCCCAGGAGUUCGGACGUCAUACCGGCAAUGCAAAACUUGUCACAUGAUGCACGGAUGGCUGACGCUGAACUAUCUGACGAUCUAUCCACGCUGGGCAAGCGGAACGCAGGAGAGGAUCAUGUGAAUGGCUCGGGCGAGGCGGAUGGCAACAAAGCUUUGGUGGUGUACUCUAACACGGCCACUUCGGCUGAGCCUUUACUUUCAGGUAUACCGAAAAAACGCAAAAUAGAUGGGACCUAG
rnacentral:rRNA from 1 species